CGCGUAGGCGGUACCUUAAGUCAGAUGUGAAAACCCGAGGCUCAACUUCGGAGGUGCAUUUGAAACUGGGGAACUUGAGUGCAGGAGAGGAAAGCGGAAUUCCUAGUGUAGCGGUGAAAUGCGUAGAUAUUAGGAGGAACACCAGUGGCGAAGGCGGCUUUCUGGACUGUAACUGACGCUGAGGCGCGAAAGCGUGGGGAGCAAACAGGAUUAGAUACCCUGGUAGUCCACGCUGUAAACGAUGGAUACUAGGUGUGGGAGGUAUCGACCCCUUCCGUGCCGCAGUAAACGCAAUAAGUAUCCCGCCUGGGGAGUACGGCCGCAAGGUUGAA
rnacentral:rRNA from 1 species